rnacentral:rRNA from 1 species
UACAGAGGUCUCAAGCGUUGUUCGGAUUCAUUGGGCGUAAAGGGGUGCGUAGGCGGCGCGGUAAGUCGGGUGUGAAAUCUCGGAGCUUAACUCCGAAACUGCAUUCGAUACUGCCGUGCUUGAGGACUGGAGAGGAGACUGGAAUUUACGGUGUAGCGGUGAAAUGCGUAGAUAUCGUCAAGAACACCGAUAGUGAAGACAGCUAACUAGCUUUAACUGACGCUGAGGCACGAAAGUGUGGGGAUCAAACAGG